rnacentral:rRNA from 1 species
GACGAACGCUGGCGGCGUGCCUAAUACAUGCAAGUAGAACGCUGAAGGAGGAGCUUGCUUCUCUGGAUGAGUUGCGAACGGGUGAGUAACGCGUAGGUAACCUGCCUGGUAGCGGGGGAUAACUAUUGGAAACGAUAGCUAAUACCGCAUAAUAUUGACUAUUGCAUGAUAGUCAGUUGAAAGGUGCAACUGCACCACUACCAGAUGGACCUGCGUUGUAUUAGCUAGUUGGUGGGGUAACGGCUCACCAAGGCGACGAUACAUAGCCGACCUGAGAGGGUGAUCGGCCACAAUGGGACUGAGACACGGCCCAGACUCCUACGGGAGGCAGCAGUAGGGAAUCUUCGGCAAUGGACGGAAGUCUGACCGAGCAACGCCGCGUGAGUGAAGAAGGUUUUCGGAUCGUAAAGCUCUGUUGUAAGAGAAGAACGAGUGUGAGAGUGGAAAGCUCACACUGUGACGGUAUCUUACCAGAAAGGGACGGCUAACUUCGUG